UAUUAAUUUUGGUCAUUUAAAAUUGAGCAAAUUAGAAAAUUUGUGUUAUUAUUUCUUUUGACCAUUGUUACUUUCACAACACAGUAUGAUACUUUAUCAAUGAGAAAACAUCCCUUGCGGAUAUAAUGUGUAAUCUAUGAAGAUUUCUUUUCAAUUAAGGAAGAAAGGACAUGGGGUUUAUGUCAAAGACAGUAAUUCCAGGACACAAAUUAAAACCAAGAUAAAUAGCUAUAUACUGGCCCUAAUUCAUCAUGGAAUUUAUAGUGUGUGAUGGUAAAAAAAACUAUAUUCACAAUAGUGAACCUUGUCAAAACAAGAAUGUGUCCAUAGUACAUGGAUGCCCUACUCAAACUAUAAUUUUCCAUGUUCAGUGGACUGUGAAAUUCGGGUCAAAACUUUGAUUUGGAAUCAAAAUUAGAAAGAUGAUAUCAUAGGGAACAUGUGUACUAAGUUUCAAGUAGAUGUGACUUUAACUUCAUCAAAACUACCUUGACCAAAAUCUUUAACCUGAACUUCACACUUUCAUUUUCUAUGUUCAGUGUACCAUGAAAUUGGGGUCAAAACUAUAAUUUGGCAUUAAAAGUAGAAAGAUCAUAUCAUGGGGAACAUGUGUACUAAGUUUCAAGUUGAUUGGACUUCAACUUUUUUAAAAACUACCUUGACCAAAAACUUUAACCUGAAGUGGGACGAACGGAUGCAUGGACGAACGAACGGAUGAACGGACCAGAAAACAUAAUGCCCCUCUACUAUCGUAGGUGGGGCAUAAAAACAAAAAACUCCAUCCAACUUUGUCACUUCAUGAAAGAUAAAAAGCUUGAAUAUUCCUUGAAUUUUUUCUAAUAUUAACCAUACAAAUGACUAUUGGAAAUUGGAUCAAUAAUACUUAUGAUUACAUUAAAU
rnacentral:lncRNA from 1 species